rnacentral:rRNA from 1 species
GACGAACGCUGGCGGCGUGCUUAACACAUGCAAGUCGAACGGAAAGGCCCCCUUGUGGGGUCCUCGAGUGGCGAACGGGUGAGUAACACGUGAGUAACCUACCCUUGACUUUGGGAUAACUUCAGGAAACUGGGGCUAAUACCGGAUAGGAGCUCCUGCUGCAUGGUGGGGGUUGGAAAGUUUCGGCGGUUGGGGAUGGGCUCGCGGCUUAUCAGCUUGUUGGUGGGGUAGUGGCUCACCAAGGCUUUGACGGGUAGCCGGCCUGAGAGGGGGACCGGCCAAGUGGGGAGAGAGGUAGGGCAGGGACUCCAGCGGGAGGCAGCAGGGCGGGAGGGGGCAGGAUGGGCGGAGUGUUGAAGCAGCAAUGCCGCGGGCGGGAUGAGGGCGUGCGGGUUGGAAGCAGAUUACCCCGGUGAGAAACGGUGAGGGAAGGAGAUGGAUAAAGAAGCAACGCCUCAAUACGUG